UUGUACUGACUCUUUAACUAGCUCCCUUCAAGGAACAGGCGGUUUCCGAGAUCGUCUUAAAGCAGCGUGGGAUGUCCAGGCCCUGCCCAGGUCCUAUCUUUUCUUCCAGCACCAUCCACCUCCCUGAAAUCUUCUCAUAGCACCUGGUCCUCACCUCGUUCUUCUCGUUGAAUUCUGUUUCCUCCUUGGUGUCUACCUUGCUACAUUCAUUCCACAGGCAUCUCUGUUCUAUUAGGCAGUCCUUUCUGUAAGCAUUUCCCAUGGAUAUUAUAACCUAACCUUCAAGCUUUGUCAAAACUUAUCAGCAGAAUUCUGCUUGUAUCUUGGGCCAGAAUGAGUCACAGCCCAUCCCUGGAUGCAGAGAAGGGUAGGAACUCUGAUACUUGGCUUCUCAGCUUCCAUACAAGAGGUAGCAAUGGAGAAGAGUGUUGGGAGAAGAUUUUAGUAGGGAAUCAACAGUGUUGACUCCACACCUACCAUUGUCAUUCUAUUUUACAGAUUAAAAAACCAAGUCACAUGGAAGAUAAAUAACAUGCUCAACAUCACCCAGCCAGAAGUGGUGGAGACAUGGCCAACAUCACAGGGGACAACUCCUGAGCCUGUGCUAGGAACAGCCAGUCUUCCUGAAUUCAUGAUAAAUAAACAUAAGAAAGGAAAACUUUUGUACGGUGAACUUGGCUAAAAAGAAGAAUGACGUCUCUGGGAACUUUUGCUGCUUAAAGGAAUGAGAGCAAAAUCCUGGCAUGACCAUGAUCCUUCAAUGAGCACCACUGUGUUGCUG
rnacentral:lncRNA from 1 species